rnacentral:rRNA from 1 species
GGGAUACCCGCUGAACCUAAGCAUAUCAAUAAGCGGAGGA